rnacentral:rRNA from 1 species
CUACGGAGGGUGCAAGCGUUAAUCGGAAUUACUGGGCGUAAAGCGCGCGUAGGCGGCUUGAUAAGUCGGAUGUGAAAUCCCCGGGCUUAACCUGGGAAUUGCAUUCGAUACUGUCAGGCUAGAGUGUGGUAGAGGGAAGUGGAAUUUCCGGUGUAGCGGUGAAAUGCGUAGAUAUCGGAAAGAACAUCAGUGGCGAAGGCGGCUUCCUGGAUCAACACUGACGCUGAGGUGCGAAAGCGUGGGGAGCAAACAGGAUUAGAUACCCCAGUAGUCC